rnacentral:tRNA from 1 species
ACCUGGCUGGCUCAGUCAGUGGAGCGCGUGACUCUUCAUCUUGGGGUUGUGAGUUUGAGUCCCACGUUGGGCA